GGACAGUGAAUGCAAUGAAAUACAUAGAAUACAGCGAGAUAUACUGAAAUACAAUAAAAAUAAAGACAAUGAAAUACAUGGAAAUACAAGGAGAUACAUUGUAAUACACUUUAGAAAAAAGGUAAUAGAAUCUUCAAGUUGCUCGGCCCCAAAUUCGAGCGUCUUUGUUUAAGAACAACCUUAAUGUUGUCUCGUCGAGAGGGCUGGGAUUCUGAGUCAAAAACAUCAUUUUUUCGUUACUGUGAUUCUAUUCUAACAAUAGAAAGCAAAGUUAUGCGAGAACAAACCAAUCGACAGAAUUGCAAUUGCAGAUCACAUCUAACCUUUAUUCAAAACCACCACACAUCAACCAAAUUGUAGCUUUGCAGAGAAUUCCUUAAACGCAAAAUAAAAAUUUCCCCCUAAUAACUCAUAUGUGUGUUAAUUGUGUAUGAAAAUAAAAUGCACGAAAGACCAUGCAAAGCUCCAAUAAAAGAAGAGCAUCAAGCUUCUCCUAUCAAAUCUUCCGAAUUACAUUCUCUCCAAUCCCAAUUUCACUAAUUCCAUCGGAGAUUUGCCUCUGAUGGAGUGGUGGCUGAGAAGCUUUUUAGGAAGAAGUACGAUUGACAUGGGAACUGAUGAGAGAGAAUCCAUGAGUUUGUAUUCAUGGAAAAAAACUAGCAUUGAG
rnacentral:lncRNA from 1 species